AUUGAACGUUGGCGGCAUGCCCUACACAUGCAAGUCGAACGGUAACAGGCCUUCGGAUGCUGACGAGUGGCGAACGGGUGAGUAAUACAUCGGAACGUGCCUAGUAGUGGGGGAUAACUACUCGAAAGAGUGGCUAAUACCGCAUGAGCUCUACGGAUGAAAGAAGGGGAUCGCAAGACCUUGUGCUACUAGAGCGGCCGAUGGCAGAUUAGGUAGUUGGUGGGAUAAAAGCUUACCAAGCCGACGAUCUGUAGCUGGUAUGAGAGGACGAUCAGCCACACUGGGACUGAGACACGGCCCAGACUCCUACGGGAGGCAGCAGUGGGGAAUUUUGGACAAUGGGCGCAAGCCUGAUCCAGCAAUGCCGCGUGCAGGAUGAAGGCCUUCGGGUUGUAAACUGCUUUUGUACGGAACGAAAAGCCCUGGGUUAAUACCCUGGGGUCAUGACGGUACCGUAAGAAUAAGCACCGGCUAACUACGUGCCAGCAGCCGCCGUAA
rnacentral:rRNA from 1 species